CUUCGGGUGAUCCUGCCGGACCCGACUGCUAUCGGAUUGAGAUUUAGCCACGCGAGUCGAACGUCCCCCUGUUGCGGGGGGGCGUGGCGUACGGCUCAGUAACACGUAGUCAACCUGCCCUGGAGACAAGGACAACCCCGGGAAACUGGGAUUAAUCCUUGAUAGGUCAUCUCAUCUGGAAGGAGAGAUGGCUUAAAGGGGUACGCGGGCUUCUUCCGCGAAUCUGCUCCAGGAUGGGACUGCGUCCGAUCAGGCUGUUGGCGGGGUAAUGGCCCACCAAACCUGUAACCGGUACGGGCCUUGAGAGAGGUGGCCCGGAGAUGGACACUGAGAGAAGGGUCCAGGUCCUACGGGGCGCAGCAGGCGCGAAACCUUCGCAAUGCGCGAAAGCGUGACGAGGUUAAUCCGAGUGACUCCCGCUGAGGGGGUCUUUUGUCAGCUGUAAAUAGGCAGGCGAAUAAGGGGAGGGCAAGCCUGGUGUCAGCCGCCGCGGUAAUACCAGCUCCUCGAGUGGUCGGGGCGAUUAUUGGGCCUAAAGCAUCCGUAGCCGGUUCCGUAGGUCCUCUGUUAAAUCCAACCGCUUAACGGUUGACCUGCAGAGGAUACCGCGGGACUAGGAGGCGGGAGAGGCGGACGGUACUCCGCGUGUAGGGGUAAAAUCCUUUGAUCCGCGGAAGACCACCAGUGGCGAAGGCGGUCCGCCAGAACGCGCUCGACGGUGAGGGAUGAAAGCUGGGGGAGCGAACCGGAUUAGAUACCCGGGUAGUCCCAGCCGUAAACGAUGCUAGCUAGAUGAUUCAUUCGCAAGUCGCGAAUGAAGUGUCGCAGGGAAGCCGUUAAGCUAGCCGCCUGGGGAGUACGGUCGCAAGACUGAAACUUAAAGGAAUUGGCGGGGGACCA
rnacentral:rRNA from 1 species